GCCGGGGUGGCUUAGCCUGGUUAUAGCGCUCGGCUCAUAAGCUGAUCUACACUGGAUUCAUUAACUGAGACACCGAGAGGUCGCGGGUUCGGAUCCCGCCCCCGGCA
rnacentral:tRNA from 1 species